rnacentral:lncRNA from 1 species
UGAGACUUGGUCAUCAGUGGUUCUAAUAUGGUCAUCUGAUGCUAUGUACCAAAGCUAGAAAGGGUACUAGGGGCAAUCAAUAAACUUUUAUUAAGCAUCUAUGUGCUAAGCAUUGAGAAUACAAAAACAAAGACAGUUGCUGCCUUCAAGGAGCUCACAGUCUAGCAGGGUAAGACUCAUCUGGAAACUGAGAAGGCUAUGGAUAAUCAGUUGAUUUGCAGAUUUCAUCUAUUCCUUCUAUCGUGGUGGAUAGCCUUUUUCAUCAUGAGUUCCUUGAAGUUGUCCUGGAUCCUCGCCUUGUUGGUAAAUGUUAAAUCACUCACAGUUAAACAUU